ensembl:lncRNA LINC02672 long intergenic non-protein coding RNA 2672
AGUCCAUGUCUCUUUCACUCACUGUGGUCAGCUUCCACACCAUUUCUUUGGUGUGGCUUGGCAAGAACCUCAGGUGUUACAUCUUGGCGAGCCAGACAGGAGACUCCAGAAAAGGUAUCUAGAUCAUCAUGCAGGGUGAUUUUCCUGUACCAGUCCAAUGCCUCCAGAGGAAGAUCAUACAUUUGCCAUUUUACUGCUUAGUACGCAUGCUUGAGCCUGCUCGCCCAACUGCUGAGAUCUUAUUCAGAAACUGCUGAUCACCAACUCCAGGUGUUUUUAUUACACAAGACAAAAACGGAAAAACAGUAACAAAUGAUUGGUUAAGCCUUUCAAAACAAAGAAGUUAUGCCUGGAGUGGGAGGAACAUUACACUAUACUUCUUUCUCCUCCUUCAUUAGUGAAGGUCACUGGAAUAGGUUCAUUACACUCAAGCAAAGGCCUGGGGAAAUGAUAGAAUUACCUCUGUUGACCCAGAAGAGCACCAAAAGCACCAGUGUGCAGAAAUCAGAGACCUCAAGCUAAAAGUCAUAAAAGGACAAGAACCUGGAAGUCGUCGAACUGUGGAAGCAAAAGACCUGUAAUGCUCCUGCUUGCCGAGCUGUGAGCAGUGGUAGUAAAAGAGCAGUAACAUUCUCUCCUGCUUGCCAAACAGGAGAGAAGCCACUGGCACCACUCCCUCCCACUCACUGAACUAUAGAAGAGAAAAAAUUGAAACACCAAAAUUGGGGAAAUGCGACUUUUGCGAAAAUUUGAAAGUGCAUGCUUCACAGAAGGAAGGGGGAGCUGGUCUAUUAUGUCUCACUAUAACAAGACUAAAAUUUUGCAAAUAAAUUGUUCCUGCCAUAAUUUAUCCUUGGUAGAAAUGAAGAAAUUGGAGAGAGAAAAAAUUGGAUUCUAGGUCCUGACCAUUGUUUUUGAAUUUUUAUUAUUUUCCUACAAUUUAGGCUAAAUUCUGAACUAUUUGCUGGCUACAAGAGGCCUCUAAAAAAGAGCUGGGUUUUAGUUUUCUUCAUGCUCUUUAAAAACUGGCAUAUAAUGGUGUGUAUCUCUCGUUGUUUUACUUCUAAGAAACUGAAGGCAUGAUAUUCUGAAGACUAGAGGUGAUUCAAUAGCCUAUGAAUCUUCUUCAUUUGGAACCCCACUGGGCCUGAUCUGUUUCCCAUCACCAAUGCACUUCUGCUAAACCUAUAUCCUAUCAAGUACUCUCCCUAAAUGCUCAGAGACCAUAACAGAAGAUGAGGGUGUGUGAGAUUAUAAAAGCCAAAUUAGUGGAGUGGAAUCUGGAGGCUAAAGCAACUCCAUCUUGGAUGCUAAUCUGCCAUGUUGGCUUCUGAUUAACCCCAGUUCUGGAGGGCCUCUGAGGUUUCCAAUUUAUCUACUGUCCCUUGUGUAAGAACAAGUACUUAUCAUAAAUCCUGCUAUUAGGGCAAAUUUCUACCCAUUCCCUCUGAAGCAUGUGCACCUCUCCUCUACAUGUAAUCUCCCCUACAAUAGAUAAACCCCUCUGGGUCUGGGGGCUAAUAGUGUGGGAACCCAUCAUCUUGCCUCACUGCUGCACAAGCCACAGGUGUGGCUUCUGUUUCUAAGUCCCUAUUAAAUGUUUCUAGAUACCA